GAUGAACGCUGGCGGCGUGCCUAAUACAUGCAAGUCGAGCGAACAGGCGAGGAGCUUGCUCCUCUGACGUUAGCGGCGGACGGGUGAGUAACACGUGGAUAACCUACCUAUAAGACUGGGAUAACUUCGGGAAACCGGAGCUAAUACCGGAUAAUAUAUUGAACCGCAUGGUUCAAUAGUGAAAGACGGUUUUGCUGUCACUUAUAGAUGGAUCCGCGCCGCAUUAGCUAGUUGGUAAGGUAACGGCUUACCAAGGCAACGAUGCGUAGCCGACCUGAGAGGGUGAUCGGCCACACUGGAACUGAGACACGGUCCAGACUCCUACGGGAGGCAGCUGUAGGGAAUCUUCCGCAAUGGGCGAAAGCCUGACGGAGCAACGCCGCGUGAGUGAUGAAGGUCUUCGGAUCGUAAAACUCUGUUAUUAGGGAAGAACAAAUGUGUAAGUAACUAUGCACGUCUUGACGGUACCUAAUCAGAAAGCCACGGCUAACUACGUG
rnacentral:rRNA from 1 species